rnacentral:rRNA from 1 species
UGGAAAGAUGAAUCAAAGAAGGUAAUAAUCCUGUAGUCGAAAAUGUUGUCUCUCUUGAGUGGAUCCUGAGUACGACGGAGCACGUGAAAUUCCGUCGGAAUCUGGGAGGACCAUCUCCUAAGGCUAAAUACUCUCUAGUGACCGAUAGUGAACCAGUACCGUGAGGGAAAGGUGAAAAGCACCCCGGAAGGGGAGUGAAAUAGAACCUGAAACCGUGUGCUUACAAGUAGUCAGAGCCCGUUAAUGGGUGAUGGCGUGCCUUUUGUAGAAUGAACCGGCGAGUUACGAUUUGAUGCAAGGUUAAGCAGUAAAUGUGGAGCCGUAGCGAAAGCGAGUCUGAAUAGGGCGUUUAGUAUUUGGUCGUAGACCCGAAACCAGGUGAUCUACCCUUGGUCAGGUUGAAGUUCAGGUAACACUGAAUGGAGGACCGAACCGACUUACGUUGAAAAGUGAGCGGAUGAACUGAGGGUAGCGGAGAAAUUCCAAUCGAACCUGGAGAUAGCUGGUUCUCUCCGAAAUAGCUUUAGGGCUAGCCUCAAGUGAUGAUUAUUGGAGGUAGAGCACUGUUUGGACGAGGGGCCCCUCUCGGGUUACCGAAUUCAGACAAACUCCGAAUGCCAAUUAAUUUAACUUGGGAGUCAGAACAUGGGUGAUAAGGUCCGUGUUCGAAAGGGAAACAGCCCAGACCACCAGCUAAGGUCCCAAAAUAUAUGUUAAGUGGAAAAGGAUGUGGCGUUGCCCAGACAACUAGGAUGUUGGCUUAGAAGCAGCCAUCAUUUAAAGAGUGCGUAAUAGCUCACUAGUCGAGUGACACUGCGCCGAAAAUGUACCGGGGCUAAACAUAUUACCGAAGCUGUGGAUUGUCCUUUGGACAAUGGUAGGAGAGCGUUCUAAGGGCGUUGAAGCAUGAUCGUAAGGACAUGUGGAGCGCUUAGAAGUGAGAAUGCCGGUGUGAGUAGCGAAAGACGGGUGAGAAUCCCGUCCACCGAUUGACUAAGGUUUCCAGAGGAAGGCUCGUCCGCUCUGGGUUAGUCGGGUCCUAAGCUGAGGCCGACAGGCGUAGGCGAUGGAUAACAGGUUGAUAUUCCUGUACCACCUAUAAUCGUUUUAAUCGAUGGGGGGACGCAGUAGGAUAGGCGAAGCGUGCGAUUGGAUUGCACGUCUAAGCAGUAAGGCUGAGUAUUAGGCAAAUCCGGUACUCAUUAAGGCUGAGCUGUGAUGGGGAGAAGACAUUGUGUCUUCGAGUCGUUGAUUUCACACUGCCGAGAAAAGCCUCUAGAUAGAAAAUAGGUGCCCGUACCGCAAACCGACACAGGUAGUCAAGAUGAGAAUUCUAAGGUGAGCGAGCGAACUCUCGUUAAGGAACUCGGCAAAAUGACCCCGUAACUUCGGGAGAAGGGGUGCUCUUUAGGGUUAACGCCCAGAAGAGCCGCAGUGAAUAGGCCCAAGCGACUGUUUAUCAAAAACACAGGUCUCUGCUAAACCGUAAGGUGAUGUAUAGGGGCUGACGCCUGCCCGGUGCUGGAAGGUUAAGAGGAGUGGUUAGCUUCUGCGAAGCUACGAAUCGAAGCCCCAGUAAACGGCGGCCGUAACUAUAACGGUCCUAAGGUAGCGAAAUUCCUUGUCGGGUAAGUUCCGACCCGCACGAAAGGCGUAACGAUUUGGGCACUGUCUCAACGAGAGACUCGGUGAAAUCAUAGUACCUGUGAAGAUGCAGGUUACCCGCGACAGGACGGAAAGACCCCGUGGAGCUUUACUGUAGCCUGAUAUUGAAAUUCGGCACAGCUUGUACAGGAUAGGUAGGAGCCUUUGAAACGUGAGCGCUAGCUUACGUGGAGGCGCUGGUGGGAUACUACCCUAGCUGUGUUGGCUUUCUAACCCGCACCACUUAUCGUGGUGGGAGACAGUGUCAGGCGGGCAGUUUGACUGGGGCGGUCGCCUCCUAAAAGGUAACGGAGGCGCUCAAAGGUUCCCUCAGAAUGGUUGGAAAUCAUUCAUAGAGUGUAAAGGCAUAAGGGAGCUUGACUGCGAGACCUACAAGUCGAGCAGGGUCGAAAGACGGACUUAGUGAUCCGGUGGUUCCGCAUGGAAGGGCCAUCGCUCAACGGAUAAAAGCUACCCCGGGGAUAACAGGCUUAUCUCCCCCAAGAGUUCACAUCGACGGGGAGGUUUGGCACCUCGAUGUCGGCUCAUCGCAUCCUGGGGCUGUAGUCGGUCCCAAGGGUUGGGCUGUUCGCCCAUUAAAGCGGUACGCGAGCUGGGUUCAGAACGUCGUGAGACAGUUCGGUCCCUAUCCGUCGUGGGCGUAGGAAAUUUGAGAGGAGCUGUCCUUAGUACGAGAGGACCGGGAUGGACAUACCUCUGGUGUACCAGUUGUCGUGCCAACGGCAUAGCUGGGUAGCUAUGUGUGGACGGGAUAAGUGCUGAAAGC